CCCAGACUCCUACGGGAGGCAGCAGUGGGGAAUAUUGGGCAAUGGGCGCAAGCCUGACCCAGCAACGCCGCGUGAAGGAAGAAGGCUUUCGGGUUGUAAACUUCUUUUGUCAGGGACGAAGCAAGUGACGGUACCUGGCGAAUAAGCCACGGCUAACUACGUGCCAGCAGCCGCGGUAAUACGUAGGUGGCAAGCGUUAUCCGGAUUUAUUGGGUGUAAAGGGCGUGUAGGCGGGAAUGCAAGUCAGAUGUGAAAUCCCGCGGCUCAACCGCGGAACUGCAUUUGAAACUGUGCUUCUUGAGUGCUGGAGAGGCAGACGGAAUUCCUAGUGUAGCGGUGAAAUGCGUAGAUAUUAGGAGGAACACCAGUGGCGAAGGCGGUCUGCUGGACAGUAACUGACGGUGAGGCGCGAAAGCGUGGGGAGCAAACAGGAUUAGAUACCCUUGUA
rnacentral:rRNA from 1 species